rnacentral:rRNA from 1 species
CCAGAGCCUGAAUCAGUGUGUGUGUUAGUGGAAGCGUCUGGAAAGGCGUGCGAUACAGGGUGACAGCCCCGUACACAAAAAUGCACAUGCUGUGAGCUCGAUGAGUAGGGCGGGACACGUGGUAUCCUGUCUGAAUAUGGGGGGACCAUCCUCCAAGGCUAAAUACUCCUGACUGACCGAUAGUGAACCAGUACCGUGAGGGAAAGGCGAAAAGAACCCCGGCGAGGGGAGUGAAAAAGAACCUGAAACCGUGUACGUACAAGCAGUGGGAGCACAGAGCAAUCUGUGUGACUGCGUACCUUUUGUAUAAUGGGUCAGCGACUUAUAUUCUGUAGCAAGGUUAACCGAAUAGGGGAGCCGAAGGGAAACCGAGUCUUAACUGGGCGUUAAGUUGCAGGGUAUAGACCCGAAACCCGGUGAUCUAGCCAUGGGCAGGUUGAAGGUUGGGUAACACUAACUGGAGGACCGAACCGACUAAUGUUGAAAAAUUAGCGGAUGACUUGUGGCUGGGGGUGAAAGGCCAAUCAAACCGGGAGAUAGCUGGUUCUCCCCGAAAGCUAUUUAGGUAGCGCCUCGUGAAUUCAUCUCCGGGGGUAGAGCACUGUUUCGGCAAGGGGGUCAUCCCGACUUACCAACCCGAUGCAAACUGCGAAUACCGGAGAAUGUUAUCACGGG